AGCGAACGCUGGCGGCAUGCUUAACACAUGCAAGUCGCACGGUAUGGUUUCGGCCAUGCAGUGGCGGACGGGUGAGUAACGCGUAGGAAUUUAUCCAUGGGUGGGGGACAACUGCGGGAAACUGCAGCUAAUACCGCAUGAUGCUUGAGGGCCAAAGGCCGUGAGGUCGCCUGUGGAGGAGCCUGCGUACGAUUAGCUUGUUGGUGGGUAAAGGCUUACCAAGGCGACGAUCGUUAGCUGGUCUGAGAGGAUGAUCAGCACACUGGACUGAGACACGGCCCAGACUCCUACCGGGAGGCAGCAGUGGGGAAUAUUGGACAAUGGCGCAAGCCUGAUCCAGCAAUGCCGCGUGGGUGAAGAAGGUUUUCGGAUUGUAAAGCCCUUUUGGCGGGGACGAUGAUGACGGUACCCGCAGAAGAAGCUCCGGCUAACUUCGUGCCAGCAGCCGCCGUAACAC
rnacentral:rRNA from 1 species